rnacentral:rRNA from 1 species
UGAUAGGUAGGGGAGCGUUCCGCUCUCGGGUGAAGUUUUCACGUAAGUGGGGAUGGACGAAGCGGAAGUGAGAAUGUCGGCUUGAGUAACGAAAACAUUGGUGAGAAUCCAAUGCCCCGAAAACCUAAGGGUUCCUCCACUAGGUUCGUCCAUGGGGGGUUAGUCAGGACCUAAGACUAGGCCAAAAGGCGUCGUCGAUGGAAAACAGGUUAAUAUUCCUGUACUAAUUAAAUUAGGAUCUGAGGGACGAAGGAGGCUAAGCUAGAACUGUUUUUGGAUUGCAGUGGAAGCGUUUAGACUUUGAGAGAUAGAACAAAAGCUAUCUUGAGUGGAGACGUGAUCCCUAUUUGAUCCUUCGCCGUCUUGUAGCUAGCGAUAUCAUACUUCCAAGAAAAGCUCAUACAUCUAAUAAUUUAAUUACCUGUACCUGAAACCGACACAGGUAGGUUGGUAGAGAAUACCAAGGGGCGCGAGAGAACUCUCUCUAAGGAACUCGGCAAACUGGCCCCGUAACUUCGGAAGAAGGGGCGCCCUUUGCAAAAAGGGUCGCAGUGACCAGGCCCAGGCGACUGUUUACCAAAAACACAGGUCUCCGCAAAGUCGUAAGACAAUAUAUGGGGGCUGACGCCUGCCCAGUGCCGGAAGGUUAAGGAAGUUGGUUAUUUCGUAAGAAAAAAGCUGACGACCGAAGCCCCGGUGAACGGCGGUCGUAACUAUAACGAUCCUAAGGUAGCGAAAUUCAUUGUCGAGUAAGUUUCGACCUGCACGAAAGGCGUAACGAUCUGGGCGCUGUCUCGGAGAGAGGCUCGGUGAAAUAGACUUGUCCCGUGAAGAUGCGGACUACCUACACCUGGACAGAAAGACCCUAUGAAGCUUGACUGUAUCUUGGAAUUGGGUUUGGGCUUUUCUUGCGCAGCCUAGGUGGGAGGCGUUGAAGAUUACCUUCCGGGGUAAUCAGAGCCAUCAUUGAGAGACCACUCUGGAAGAGCUAGAAUCCUAAUGGGGAUCCUUGAAUCAGGACCCUUGACAGUUUCAGGUGGGCAGUUUAUUUGGGGCGAAUGCCUCCUAAAAGGUAACGGAGGCGUGCAAAGGUUCCCUCAGUCUGGACGGAAAUCAGACAUUGAGUGUAAAGGCAAAAGGGAGCUUGACUGCAAGACCUACAAGUCGAGCAGGGGCGAAAGCCGGCCUUAGUGAUCCGACGGUGCCGUGUGGAAGGGCCGUCGCUCAACGGAUAAAAGUUACUCUAGGGAUAACAGGCUGAUCUUCCCCAAGAGUUCACAUCGACGGGAAGGUUUGGCACCCGAUGUCGGCUCAUCACAUCCUCGGUCUGUAGUAGGUCCGAAGGGUUGGGCUGUUCGCCCAUUAAAGUGGUACGUGAGCUGGGUUCAAAACGUCGUGAGACAGUUUGGUCCAUAUCCGGUGUAGGCGUUAGAGCAUUGAGAGUAGCCUUUCAUAGUACGAGAGGACCUGAAAGGACAUGCCAAUUGUGUACCAGUUCUCAUUCCAAUGGGAAACGCUGGGUAGCUACGCAUGGAUAGAUAACUGCUGAAAGCAUCUAAGUAGGAAGCUAAACUCAAGAUGAGUGCUCUCUAAGGCCGCGGCUAGACAAGCCGUUAUAUAGGUAUCAGGUGUACAGUCAGCAAUGGCUUCAGCCGAGAUAUACUAAAGGCCGUUUGAUUUUGAC